rnacentral:rRNA from 1 species
AUUGAACGCUGGCGGCAUGCCUUACACAUGCAAGUCGAACGGCAGCACGGGAGCUUGCUCCUGGUGGCGAGUGGCGAACGGGUGAGUAAUACAUCGGAACGUACCCUGAAGUGGGGGAUAACGUAGCGAAAGUUACGCUAAUACCGCAUAUUCUGUGAGCAGGAAAGAGGGGGAUCGCAAGACCUCUUGCUUUAGGAGCGGCCGAUGUCGGAUUAGCUAGUUGGUGAGGUAAAGGCUCACCAAGGCGACGAUCCGUAGCGGGUCUGAGAGGAUGAUCCGCCACACUGGGACUGAGACACGGCCCAGACUCCUAACGGGAGGCAGCAGUGGGGAAUUUUGGACAAUGGGCGCAAGCCUGAUCCAGCCAUGCCGCGUGAGUGAAGAAGGCCUU